UCAGGUCAUCCUCUAACAAUAAUUGUUCUCCUCUUGAAAAACAAUUCUUAGUCUGCUCCAGGUCUUACAUGAGGCUGAAGACUAAAUAAUAGUCCACAAAGUUACUAUGGUAGCUCAAGAUCCUAUCAUGAACUGGGUGCUUUCUGACUGAUCAAGCCAGACAGUUGUGCACACACAACAACAUUCCAUCAUUAAGCGCUGAAAGCCCUUAUAGAAAAGCUUCCUGCAGCAAUCAGUUUCCUUGCCUUUCUGCCUUCGGCCAUGUGAGGACACAGUGUUUCUCCCCUUUGAAGAAGUAUUCAAGGCAUCAUUGUGGAAGAAGAUACUGGACCUCCAUUAGGCAACCAAACCUGCCAUCAUCUUGAACUUCCCAGACCCCAAAACUAUAAGAAAAUGAAUUUCCUUUCUUUGUAGAUUA